UCAUUGCAUGGACGAAAAGCCUCAGAGCUGAGGACUCAGCGGCCACCCCAAGCCCCUAAGCAUCCCCGACAAGAAGUGCCCCCAUGCCAAGGGUGCAGAGCCCCCAGGUGGGAAGGUCUGCCUAGAGUGGAGCUGCAGUCCGGCUCCGUGUUUUAGUCCCCCUGUGGCCCAGGGCAGCCCCCUGAGGGUGGUAGAUGGCACUGUUGUCACCCUGUGUUUUCUCCACUCCAGAACUCAAGCUCCCAUUCCCUUGACCUGGUUGACCUUGACUUGUGACCUGGUUUCAAGUCCUUUUACCAUGCUUGGGUCUCUCUGUGGAAUGUGAACCAGCUGGUAAGGGAGCCAGUGAUGCCAGCAAUGGGCUGAGCAGGCAGCGGAAGCCCUCCCCAGACACCCCCAGGGCAGCCUGUGUUCCGAACUGCUGUGGGACCCUGGAGCCCACUGGUACCUUUCGUCAACUUACGACCUUGGUCUGCCCUACACGCUGCUCUGGCUCUUUCCCACCCUGGGCCUGAAAGCUGGUUUGUCUUCUCUUUUUUAAGGUAAGUGGUAAGUGGUAUUUCAUUCUACUGCAAGGGAUUUGUUGACUCGAAUGCACUGACUCUGCAGGCUGGCCAUAGGCAGAAGACAAAAUCCCUAGGGCUAGUGGGGAAGCAGACCGAAUGCAGGUCUGAGGCCGCUCUCCUCAAAGCCACCUUCUGGGAGGGGCGCUGGACCCGCAGGCACAGACCUGGGGCCACAGCCAUGCUCCAGGUGUGUGAUCUUGAGCAAACCACACAGAACUGCAACCUCCUAACAGGAAACCACUCAGCCCCUUCCCUGGGCUGGUUAUAAUUAGCAAACGAGGGCAGGGACAUCAUUCACGUUCACUGGCCAAGAACCUAUGGAUCCUGGCAAAUCAACAAGCCAGGCAAAGUUCUAGAAGGAGAGGACACAGCACACAGCCUCAUGAAGGAAGCAGUUAUGCCCACACGUGGCUGGUGCAGGCAUGGAGCAUGCCCAGGGAGAGCAGCAAACAGCUGGCCAGAGUCUCCCUGCCCAGGGUAGGGUGGCCUAAGCCCCUGCCUCUCCUUGCCCUGCUCGUGAGCACAGGCCUGGCACAGAAAAGACACCGCACAGAUGUUUGUUGAAUGACUGAACAACCAGCCCAUCACACUCUCUAAUUACAUCCCCUCUGCCACAGCUCAGAUUGGAAGACACCUGAGCAAGAAGUUGCUGGGAUCUGGAGUCCAUUCUUCCUGCAGCGGGAGGAGCGUGGGUUUAAGCGUGCAGGAGCUGGCGCUCCCACACCAGCAGCCGCCUAGGAAGGGCCAGGGCUGGCCCACGGGCCCUUGUGCUGCUGUUUGGACACCUGUGACUCUCCUGUGGCUCCCAGACACACAGGCCUCUGCAAUUCCAGGAAUUUGUGGCGAGUUGGUUGGCACAUAGCAGGUGAGUGAGAAGCCCAAGCCCAGCCUUCCCGGGGCCUACGACCUGGCAGAGAGAGUGAGUCUGCACACGGUAUCGUGUGUGUGCUCAGGACCUCGGGAGAAGUGUGGGCUCAGGAUCAAGUAGUGGGGAGCCCUGCCGAGCCUGGGGUCUGGGAGGCUAUGAUAAGUGCAGGCGGGCAGGAGCUGGGGAGGCAGAGGGGCCCGUACGUGCCCUGGGCAGCAAUGAGAGGAGCACCUUGGCCAGGAGGGCUGGGGCCCCGGGACAGCACCAGCCUGGCCCUGUUGGGGAAGGCGAGGCACGGGUAUGCACUAGUUUCUGGCAGGUAUAUUUCUCCCCUCAUUCCACACUGACGUGUAAGCUUGAUGCUGUUUGUAUUAACAGUUAAGGUCUAAAUUUAGCAGUGUCAGUAGGAGUCUAUUUUUACAGGAAAAGAUUAACACAGAGGACAAGAGAACUGCCACCUUAAGUGGAAGCAGGUGUUGUGCAGCCACGCCAGGCUUUGAGAUACCUGCUCAGGACAAGAGCCAGAGGUUCCAAAGCGCCCCAUGGCUUACCUGUAGCUCCUGCUGGAAUGGAUGGACUCAAGGGAAAUCUUUACGAACAGAAAUAAUUUGAAAAUAAAAGCCGCCCUGGGGUUCCCCAGACUUUCUGUACCAUAAGUACACCUUCUACCCCCUCAAAUCCUUUGAUGAGGCCCUGGUUUGUCUGAGCUUCCUGGGGCUCCUAGGCAGGUGAGGUGGCUCCGCUGAGCUUUGCCAGGGCUCUAGGCAUCUCUUCCACAGCACUUCUGGGGCGAGACUUGCUUUUCUGCCUGCUUCUCUGUUAGGAUGGAGCGGUGUCUGGCGGGGGAGCACUCCGUGAGCGCAGACCUGUUGCCAGGACUCCGGUGCGCAGCAGCAAGCCCCACAGAGGCCCUCCUGCCCUUCCUAUAAAUCGCCCAGUGAAGUGCCUAUCACAUGUAUGGCCAGACCAGUUACUGCAGCCAUGCCUCCCUGGUCUGGAACAACACUAAGAACCUGGAUUCGCUCAGAAAACGGAAGACUGAAUAGCUCCAAGUGAUGCCCUAUAGUCAGUCCACACUUUCCCCACAGGUACGAAACCCCCUUUUCUUUCUUUUUUUCCCCCAGCUGUCCACAGUACUUGUUAAUUGUUUUAUUUACCCAGAGAAGCUAUUCCUCAGCCCAGUGUUUGUGGCUCAGGAACACAGGUCAGUGGCAAACUUCCAAGUAAUUAAACCCAAAGGAAUUUCUUUGUAUCCCCAAAUCACUGUGCACUCUGUAAGACACCAGCCUUCCUCCUCUCUCCAGCAUCUUUCAUGGAACUGUAAUUCCUGUAGAAAUCCACAUCUGCCCCCUUUCUUGGUUGUAUCCCUGGGGGUUGCAUCUCUCCAUAAGUUUGCUGUGGCUGAACCAACACUCCAACCACAUGAAACCACAGACACCGAACCGCCAUGCGCCUGAGGUUUCGUCAAAGUGCCAGGAGCCAUGGUCGUUAUUGUCCUUGAGAGGUAUCUCAACAUGUCCUUCCUGGCUGGGGGAGACGUGAACUGCCAGAAUCCCCUUUUCAUAUGCUCUAAAACCUCACUUGUAUUUUCUGGCCUCAGUGGUCACCUCUACCUGGUACCCCGAGUCCACACACGCAGAGCCUCAGCACUCCCCAAAGGUAUGCUUCCGUGGAGAGCGCUCACUGCUCACGACAUCUGAGUGAGCUGCCGCCAAGAAUGGAGCUGGUCUGAUGUUGGUGGGGGCCUCCUUCAGCACCUCAUCUCAGAAGGGCAAGUUCGCCUGGCUAGUCCCUUGGCCCAGAACCCUGGGGGGGGGGUCAUCCUUGACACCAGCUUCUUGUCACAGUAAC